AUUAAACGCUGGCGGCAUGCCUUACACAUGCAAGUCGAACGGCAGCACGGGGGCAACCUUGGUGGCGAGUGGCGAACGGGUGAGUAAAGCAUCGGAACGUGCCCUGGAGUGGGGGAUAACGUAGCGAAAGUUACGCUAAUACCGCAUAUUCUGUGAGCAGGAAAGCAGGGGAUCGCAAGACCUUGCGCUCUGGGAGCGGCCGAUGUCGGAUUAGCUAGUUGGUGGGGUAAAGGCCUACCAAGGCGACGAUCCGUAGCGGGUCUGAGAGGAUGAUCCGCCACACUGGGACUGAGACACGGCCCAGACUCCUACGGGAGGCAGCAGUGGGGAAUUUUGGACAAUGGGCGAAAGCCUGAUCCAGCCAUGCCGCGUGAGUGAAGAAGGCCCUCGGGUUGUAAAGCUCUUUCGGUGGGGAAGAAAUUGCAUAGGCUAAAUACCCUGUGUAGAUGACGGUACCUGGAGAAGAAGCACCGGCUAACUACGUGCCAGCAGCCGCGGUAAU
rnacentral:rRNA from 1 species